GGGCGCAAGCCUGAUGCAGCCAUGCCGCGUGUGUGAAGAAGGCCUUCGGGUUGUAAAGCACUUUCAGCGGGGAGGAAGGCGGUGAGGUUAAUAACCUCACCGAUUGACGUUACCCGCAGAAGAAGCACCGGCUAACUCCGUGCCAGCAGCCGCGGUAAUACGGAGGGUGCAAGCGUUAAUCGGAAUUACUGGGCGUAAAGCGCACGCAGGCGGUCUGUCAAGUCGGAUGUGAAAUCCCCGGGCUCAACCUGGGAACUGCAUUCGAAACUGGCAGGCUAGAGUCUUGUAGAGGGGGGUAGAAUUCCAGGUGUAGCGGUGAAAUGCGUAGAGAUCUGGAGGAAUACC
rnacentral:rRNA from 1 species